UUAGAGUUUGAUCCUGGCUCAGGAUGAACGCUGGCGGCGUGCCUAAUACAUGCAAGUCGAGCGAACUGAUUAGAAGCUUGCUUCUAUGACGUUAGCGGCGGACGGGUGAGUAACACGUGGGCAACCUGCCUGUAAGACUGGGAUAACUUCGGGAAACCGAAGCUAAUACCGGAUAGGAUCUUCUCCUUCAUGGGAGAUGAUUAAAAGAUGGUUUCGGCUAUCACUUACAGAUGGGCCCGCGGUGCAUUAGCUAGUUGGUGAGGUAACGGCUCACCAAGGCAACGAUGCAUAGCCGACCUGAGAGGGUGAUCGGCCACACUGGGACUGAGACACGGCCCAGACUCCUACGGGAGGCAGCAGUAGGGAAUCUUCCGCAAUGGACGAAAGUCUGACGGAGCAACGCCGCGUGAGUGAUGAAGGCUUUCGGGUCGUAAAACUCUGUUGUUAGGGAAGAACAAGUACGAGAGUAACUGCUCGUACCUUGACGGUACCUAACCAGAAAGCCACGGCUAACUACGUGCCAGCAGCCGCGG
rnacentral:rRNA from 1 species